rnacentral:rRNA from 1 species
CGCCUCUUGCAAAAUUAACGAAUAAGAGGUCCUGCCUGCCCUGUGACCAUGAGUUCAACGGCCGCGGUAUUUUGACCGUGCAAAGGUAGCGCAAUCACUUGUCUUUUAAAUGAAGACCCGUAUGAAUGGCAAGACGAGGGCUUAGCUGUCUCCUUUUUCAAGUCAAUGAAAUUGAUCUUCCCGUGCAGAAGCGGGAAUUCCGACAUAAGACGAGAAGACCCUAUGGAGCUUUAGACACCAAGGCAGACCACGUCAAAACUCCCUAAUAAAGGACCGAACUAAAUGGACCCUGUCCUAAUGUCUUUGGUUGGGGCGACCACGGGGAAAUACAAAACCCCCGCGUGGAAUGGGAGUACCCUUGCUCCUACAACUGAGAGCUUCCGCUCUAAUAAACAGAAUUUCUGACCAACAAGAUCCGGCAACGCCGAUCAACGAACCGAGUUACCCUAGGGAUAACAGCGCAAUCCUCUUUUAGAGCCCAUAUCGACAAGGGGGUUUACGACCUCGAUGUUGGAUCAGGACAUCCUAAUGGUGCAGCCGCUAUUAAGGGUUCGUUUGUUCAACGAUUAAAGUCCU